GGAGUUAGCCGGUGCUUCUUCUGUGAGUGAUGUCCUUCCUGCCGGCUAUUAACCCGCAGGCCUUCUUCCUCACUGAAAGUGCUUUACAACCCGAAGGCCUUCUUCACACACGCGGCAUGGCUGGAUCAGGGUUGCCCCCAUUGUCCAAUAUUCCCCACUGCUGCCUCCCGUAGGAGUCUGGGCCGUGUCUCAGUCCCAGUGUGGCUGAUCAUCCUCUCAGACCAGCUACGGAUCGUCGCCUUGGUGAGCCGUUACCUCACCAACCAGCUAAUCCGACAUAGGCUCAUCCGAUAGCGCGAGGCCCGAAGGUCCCCCGCUUUCCCCCGUAGGGCGUAUGCGGUAUUAGCCUGGGUUUCCCCAGGUUAUCCCCCACUACCGGGCAGAUUCCUAUGCAUUACUCACCCGUCCGCCGCUCGCCACCAGGGAGCAAGCUCCCCGUGCUGCCGCUCGACUUGCAUGUGUUAGGCCUGCCGCCACGCGUUCAUCUGAACCAAGAUACAAUUACUGA
rnacentral:rRNA from 1 species